UACGUAGGGUGCGAGCGUUAAUCGGAAUUACUGGGCGUAAAGUGUGCGCAGGCGGCAGAGCAAGUCGAGUGUGAAAGCCCCGGGCUUAACUUGGGAAUUGCGCUCGAAACUACUUUGCUGGAGUGUGGCAGAGGAAGGUGGAAUUCCACGUGUAGCGGUGAAAUGCGUAGAUAUCUGGAGGAACACCGGUGGCGAAGGCGGCAUCCUGGACCGAGAUUGACGCUGAGGCGCGAAAGCCAGGGGAGCAAACGGG
rnacentral:rRNA from 1 species